UACGGAGGGGGCAAGCGUUAUCCGGAUUCACUGGGCUUAAAGGGCGCGUAGGCGGGCAGGUAAGUCCGUGGUGAAAUCUCCGAGCUUAACUCGGAAACUGCCAUGGAUACUAUUUGUCUUGAAUGUUGUGGAGGUGAGCGGAAUAUGUCAUGUAGCGGUGAAAUGCUUAGAUAUGACAUAGAACACCAAUUGCGAAGGCAGCUCACUGCACAAAUAUUGACGCUGAGGCACGAAAGCGUGGGGAUCAAACAGG
rnacentral:rRNA from 1 species